UACGUAGGGUGCAAGCGUUAAUCGGAAUUACUGGGCGUAAAGCGUGCGCAGGCGGUUUUGCAAGACAGAUGUGAAAUCCCCGGGCUUAACCUGGGAACUGCAUUUGUGACUGCAAGACUAGAGUGCGGCAGAGGGGGGUGGAAUUCCGCGUGUAGCAGUGAAAUGCGUAGAUAUGUGGAGGAACACCGAUGGCGAAGGCAGCCCCCUGGGUCGGCACUGACGCUCAUGCACGAAAGCGUGGGGAGCAAACAGG
rnacentral:rRNA from 1 species